GCCCUCAGGAGUAGGUGCAAAGGCCCCGAGGCAGGAGCACGUUUGAUGUAAUGGUCUUUGGCCUGAUUGAAAUAGGUCAGUACCUUUGUAAGUUUUGAAUUAUAUGUUUCCCUGCCCUAGAAGUGGACGCCACAGAGGAAACAUCAUUAAAGUCUCUGUUCUCCCUGCUGUCAUGUCUAAGUCAGAGUCUCCUAAAGAGCCUGAAAUCACCUAAGAGAUUAUUUUGAAUAAUAUGGAAAAAUUGAAGUGAUUGAAAUCAUGACUGACCAAGGCAGUGGCAAGAAAAGGGGCUUUGCCUUUAUAACCUUUGACGACCAUGACUCUGUGGAUAAGACUGUCAUUCAGAAAUAACCAUACUGUGAAUGGCCACAACGGUGAAGUUAGGAAAGCCCUGUUAAAGCAAGAGAUGGCUAAUGCUUCAGCGCAGUGGCAGAAGAUUUUAAUUAUUGCCAGGAAACAAAGCGUAGCAAAAGAGGAGAGCUAGAGAAGUGACGGGGAAGCUACAGGUUACAACAGAUUUGUGAACUCAGCCAAGCACGGUGGUGGCAGGGCCUAGCUGCUACAAAGAAGACAUGUUUUAGACAAAUACUCAUGUGAAUGGGCAAAAACUUGAGGACUGUAUUUGUCUAAUUGUAUAACAGGUUAUUUUAGUUCCUGUUCCAUGGAAAGUUUAAAGCAUUCCAACAAAGUGAUCUAAUGUAGAUUUUUUUUUUUGCACCAUGCUGUUGAUUGCUAAAUGCAAUAGUCUGAUCAUGAUGCUGAAUAAAUGUCUUUUUUAAAAAAAUAUUUGUCAGAGCAACCAAAUUUUCUGCUAAACAGCAGAAAAUGAUGUUUCCAUGUUGGCAGUAGUGGAUUAUGUAAAUUUUGGUUUUAUUUUUGUUUUAAGAAAGGGGAAGUUUAGGGGCUCAUUAAAUAUGUUUUACAACUGGGCAGGUGAAGAUGAGGAAUUCCUGAGGCACUGACUUCUGUUCCCCAUUUUCCCUAUGCCAUUCCUAUCCUAACACUUACCAGAUGAGAGGAAGAGCCGUCUGAUCUUAGCUAGUGUAUAAAAUCCUCUAUAGGGCAAGAUUUUUAGUUCUUCGAAACUUACUUACUUCCUUAUAUUAAUAUUUUUAUGGGCUUGCAAUAACAAUGCUUGUUUAUGUUAUGUGGUUUAUUUUGAAAUUUUUAUUGUAUAAAAAUGUGUUGCAGAUUGCUUCUAAAUAAUGUUCAGAAUAUCUAGUCCCCACAGUAUAUGUGUAAAGGCCACAUUUCAUUUAAACAUAAAAGGUACGGUGGCUCACUCCUGUAAUCCUAGCACUUUCGUAGACUGAGGUGGGAGCAUCACUU
rnacentral:lncRNA from 1 species